UUACCCCACAAAUCCAUAACAUCCAGUCACAGAUUGAACAAACUAUACCUUUUUGGAAUCUUUGUGAUCAGACAAAUAAUAUGGCAUACCUUUUAAUAUGAUGGGAACAUUUUAAAAUUUUGACCUCUGUGUAAUUCUUCAUUGAACCCU